GCAGCGCUAUAAAUCCUGGCGCGCCAGUGUGCGCGCUCUCUCAUUUCCGCGAUGUUGUGGUGGGAGUGCGCUAGAGCUUACAAAUAUGAGAAAGUUCGGCUGUUACAAGAAGGAGGCUGAAUGUGGUCUGAAGUCACUCCAGAUGAGGACUCUCCAGCUGUUCUGAUGUCACACAAGACCCCAGAAUGCCUCGAUCCCAAUGGACCAUAACGUUACUAAUGUAAGGCUGAGGUAACUGAGUGCGAGCGUUUGAAAGGUCGAUGGAGAUCAUCCUGUUGUGUGAAAGCUGUGUGAAGAUCUUCAGAAAUCAAGUUUUCUGUUCCUGGUCUUCAAAUGUCAAGUGAUCAGCGCUCACUGUUAACGUUUACAUUAAAAAUAAAAUAAAAAGUUCUAGCAUUGAGCGUCAAGCUGCUGUACGAAGACGCUGAAUGUCUGAGAUUGUAUAAUGUUUGACUUGUCUCAUUCGUGUUUUUAUUUUAUUUUUUUAUAAACACUGGACAAUAAAACUGUAUGAAUAAAAUGUC